rnacentral:rRNA from 1 species
UAUAACAUAGCGUUAAUGUACUAGAUCCCAUUAUAACUCCGCAGUUAAGCAUGAUCACGCUAGAGUAGUGCUAGGAUGGGUGACCACCUUGGAAUUCCUAGUGUUUUAC